GAUGAACGCUGGCGGCGUGCCUAAUACAUGCAAGUCGAGCGAACAGACGAUGAGCUUGCUCCCCUGACGUUAGCGGCUGACGGGUGAGUAACACGUGGAUCACCUACCUAUAUGACUGGGAUAACUUCGGGAAACAGGAGCUAAUACCGGAGAAUAUAUUGAACCGCAUGGUGCAGUAGAUAAAGACGGUUUUGCUGUCACUUAUAGCUGGAUCCGGGCCGCAUUAGCUAGUUGGUAAGGGAACGGCUAACCAAGGCGACGAUACGUAGCUGACCUGAGAGGAUGAUCAGCCACACGGGAACUGAGACACGGUCCAGACUCCUACGGGAGGCAGCAGUGGGGAAUAUUGGACGAUGGGCGCAAGCCUGAUCCAGCCAUACCGCGUGGGUGAAGAAGGCCUUCGGCUUGUAGAGCCCUUUUGUUGGGAAAGAAAAGCAGCAGGUUAAUACCCCGCUGUUCUGACGGUACCCAAAGAAGAAGCACCGGCUAACUUCGUG
rnacentral:rRNA from 1 species